rnacentral:rRNA from 1 species
GUGAGUCGGCCCCUAAGGCGAGGCAGAAAUGCGUAGUCGAUGGGAAACAGGUUAAUAUUCCUGUACCGGCUGUAACUGCGACGAAGGGACGGAGAAGGCUAGGCCAGCGCGGCGAUGGUUGUCCGCGUUUAAGGGUGUAGGCUGGGAGAGUAGGCAAAUCCGCUCUCCCUUAAGGCUGAGACCUGAUGACGAGUCUCCAUGUGAGACGAAGUGGUUGAUGCCAUGCUUCCAAGAAAAGCUUCU